rnacentral:rRNA from 1 species
CCUACGGGAGGCAGCAGUGGGGAAUUUUGCGCAAUGCUCGUAAGAGUGACGCAGCGACGCCGCGUGAAUGACGAAGGCCUUCGGGUCGUAAAGUUCUUUCGACAGGGAAGAAAAUGCCUAUAAGUAACUGUGUAUGGAUUGACGGUACCUGUAUAAGCAGACCCGGCUAACUCCGUGCGAGCAGCAGAGGUAAUAAGGAGGGGGCGAGCGUUGUUCGGAGGGACUGGGCGUAAAGGGCACGUAGGCGGUGUUGUAAGUCAUUAGUCAAAGACUAGAGCUAAACUUUAGUAAGGCUAGUGAUACUAUAAUACUAGAGUAUCAGAGAGGAUUGCAGAAUUCCUGGUGUAGCGGUGAAAUGCGUAGAUAUCAGGAGGAAUACCGUUAGCGAAGGCGGCAAUCUGGCUGGAAACUGACGCUGAGGUGCGAAAGCGUGGGUAGCAAACAGGAUUAGAUACCCGAGUAGUC